AUUAUCUAUGAGACCUUGGCUGUGGUACCCUAUAUAUACACAUCUAAUAUUGGGAACACUGGACGACUAGCACUACUUCAAGAAGUCAAAGGAACCAGGCUUCCAGCAGAAUCGUGAGCAAAAGAAAGGAUUGGGCACCCUGAAAUUGUCCACAAGCGUUUACCAUCUGAGUCAUAUGUGGUUUAUGACUCUUGACUUGUGAGUGACACCAUACAC